rnacentral:rRNA from 1 species
UCCUACGGGAGGCAGCAGUGGGGAAUAUUGCACAAUGGGCGGAAGCCUGAUGCAGCGACGCCGCGUGAGGGAUGACGGCCUUCGGGUUGUAAACCUCUUUCAGCAGGGACGAAGCGUAAGUGACGGUACCUGCAGAAGAAGCACCGGCUAACUAUGUGCCAGCAGCCGCGGUAAUACGUAGGGUGCGAGCGUUGUCCGGAAUUACUGGGCGUAAAGAGCUCGUAGGCGGUUUGUCACGUCGUCUGUGAAAUCCUAGGGCUUAACCCUGGACGUGCAGGCGAUACGGGCUGACUUGAGUACUACAGGGGAGACUGGAAUUUCUGGUGUAGCGGUGGAAUGCACAGAUAUCAGGAAGAACACCGAUGGCGAAGGCAGGUCUCUGGGUAGUAACUGACGCUGAGGAGCGAAAGCAUGGGUAGCGAACAGGAUUAGAUACCCUGGUAGUCCAUGCCGUAAACGGUGGGCGCUAGGUGUGGGGUUCCUUCCACGGGCUCCGCGCCGUAGCUAACGCAUUAAGCGCCCCGCCUGGGGAGUACGGCCGCAAGGCUAAAACUCAAAGAAAUUGACGGGGGCCCGCACAAGCGGCGGAGCAUGUGGAUUAAUUCGAUGCAACGCGAAGAACCUUACCUGGGCUUGACAUAUAGAGGAUCGCUACAGAGAUGUGGUUUCCCUUGUGGCUUCUAUACAGGUGGUGCAUGGUUGUCGUCAGCUCGUGUCGUGAGAUGUUGGGU